CUGCCAACUGAUCUCUCACCGCAACGUGGAGACUGAUCUCUCACCACGACACGAGCUUCCUGCCUUCAGAUCCUUCUCUACGGACCGUUUGCUGACAGACUUCCCUCGGCCUGCUACCUGAGACCUGCUGCUUCCUCCCUGACCUGCACCCUCUUGUUGCCCAAGACCGGCCUCGCUGCUCCUGCCCUUCGGCCUUGGACCGUCGGAACAUCGUGCAACGGGACUGCUGCCGGAUCCUGGUGAAUCUGAAUCUUUUGACUGGCCUUCUCACAACUAUGAAAGUGACACCACAAGAAGAAAAUGAAAACACUCAGCCCGCAAGGCUUCAGAAUACUUGCAUGAGGGGCAGGAGAAAUCAGAGAUAGCUGGGACUUAGGCUGACCAAUUUUCCAUAUUGAUGAAAACCUCCAGUUGAAUCUUGUACAAUAACUUCUCUGGCUUUUUGCCUUUUCCCAGUUUGCUAUACAUUGUACAAUAAAUAGUAAG
ensembl:lncRNA